UCCGGCCUUCUUCUUCCUUGGCAACAGGCCACCCGGCCUUUCCCUCUCCCUCGGACCUUAGGCCCGUGUUGUCUUAAGCCCAAAACCCUAGCCCCUUUAGUUUUUUAUGUUUUGUUAUUUGGUUUUAAAACCCAUAAGGGCUCGGGCCCUAGUUUAAUUUGGCCCUGGGCCGGUUUGGACUUAAAGGGCUUAAAGCCCUGUUUAUUUUUGUGAGGCCUUAAGGCCUUGUGCUUUGUGUGUGUGUGUUUUGGUGGAGUGUAUAUGUUUGGGCUUAAGCCCAAACCUCAAUUCUCAUCCUAAAACCCUUUUAACCCAAAACCCUUAGAGCCCUAAAAGCCCAAUAAAUCCUAAUCCUAUUUAACUUAAAUCCUAAUCCGGAUUUCAAGCCUAAAACCCAUUAGACCUAAUUUGACCGUUAACCCCCGGUCAACGUUGACUUUAGGGUUGACUUUUCGGGUUUUCGUCCGGGACCCUUCUUAGGGUAAUUCAACGUUCUGAAUCCGUUUUCAAUGUGCGUUUUCCCAAAUUCAAUCGUUUAAGUAGAGUUUGACUAAAUGUGCUAUUUAUGUGCUUAGGGGCAAUUAUUGUGACGUUUCCGUCUUCGCUAGUGGCGCAGCUUUUGGCGGCUAAGUACUGUGAGUGGACCCCUUCUAAAAUUACAUGAUUUGAUAAUUUAAUUGCAUAAAUGAUUAGCAUGCCUACAGAUUUAUGAUUUGAUUUAUGUGAAGCUGGUUGAUUUAAUAUAUUGAUUAUCGUCUCGUGUUUUGGUGAGGAAUUAAUUGUGGCCUAUAUUGAGCUAUAUUUUGAUAUAUCGUAUUUUCUAUAAAAACCAUGAACUGGUAGACUAUCUGAUAGAUGACGAUAGGAUGCUAGAACAUGUUUUGAACCCCUCUUUAUAGUAUAGACGAUGCUCGAUAACCUACGCUAUGAAGUGGUAUUUACGAGAGGCGUAACAUUUUGCGUACCUAGUGGACACUAUGCCACCUGGGGCGAGGAUCUGGUGUUGGUAUUUAGGCCGGGAGAAAUAAUCCCUAGCUACGGGCUGAGGGACAUGAAGAGGCAUUGGGCCGGGUGGUAGUUAUCUCUAGCUACGGGCGCAGAGACUUAGGUGCAGGCAUUGGGCCGGGAGUUAUAAUUAUUCGGUGAUCUUACUAGCAGCACACCGCGUUUACGAGACGAUUUAUGAGACGUUUACUGUUUUGAUUUCCGCGAUGUUUUUCCGCGAGAUAUGGCUUUUGAGAUAUUUUUGGCAUGCUAGGAUUUUUAUUAAAUCCAUCAUUUAUUAUGCUAGUAGUUUUCAUUAUAUAAACUGUGGGGGUUAGUAUUUUGAUAACUGUUUUAUUAUUAUUUUAUAUAUAUAUAUAUAUAUAAAGUUGGUCCACUCACCUUUGUUUUGCGUCCCCAUUCAGGACUUAGAAUCAAGGCACCUAAUCCCGGCGUGAAGGCACUUCCGCAGCAGCAUCUUCAGAUCUUUUCGAUGUAGGACCCACUCUUUUAUUCAUUCAAUUUUAUCUUAAUUCUUUUUAGUGAUUAGGUUUAGUUGUAUGCUCUGAACACGUUCCUAAAU
rnacentral:lncRNA from 1 species